rnacentral:rRNA from 1 species
AACGUAGGUUCCGAGCGUUAUCCGGAUUUACUGGGCGUAAAGCGCGUUCAGGCGGUUUGGCAAGUCGGGCAUGAAAUCUCUCGGCUCAACCGGGAGAGGUUGUCCGAUACUGCUGGACUUGAGGGCAGUAGAGGGUGGUGGAAUUCCGGGUGUAGUGGUGAAAUGCGUAGAUAUCCGGAGGAACACCAGUGGCGAAAGCGGCCACCUGGACUGCACCUGACGCUGAGACGCGAAAGCUAGGGGAGCGAACGGG